AUUGAACGCUGGCGGCAUGCUUUACACAUGCAAGUCGAACGGUAACAGGGAGCUUGCUCCGCUGACGAGUGGCGAACGGGUGAGUAAUGCAUCGGAACGUACCCAGUCGUGGGGGAUAACGUAGCGAAAGUUACGCUAAUACCGCAUACGUCCUGAGGGAGAAAGCGGGGGACCGUAAGGCCUCGCGCGAUUGGAGCGGCCGAUGUCGGAUUAGCUAGUUGGUGGGGUAAAGGCCUACCAAGGCGACGAUCCGUAGCGGGUCUGAGAGGAUGAUCCGCCACACUGGGACUGAGACACGGCCCAGACUCCUACGGGAGGCAGCAGUGGGGAAUUUUGGACAAUGGGGGCAACCCUGAUCCAGCCAUGCCGCGUGAGUGAAGAAGGCCUUCGGGUUGUAAGCUCUUCGGUCCGGGACGGAAAGUACGUAUGGGCGUAAUAACCCUGUGCGGAGUGACGGUACCGGCCGAUAAGAAGCACCGGCUAACUAACGUGCCACGCAGCCGCGGUAAGACUACGUAGUACG
rnacentral:rRNA from 1 species